UACGGAGGGAGCUAGCGUUGUUCGGAAUUACUGGGCGUAAAGCGCGCGUAGGCGGCUUUGUAAGUUAGAGGUGAAAGCCCGGAGCUCAACUCCGGAACUGCCUUUAAAACUGCAUCGCUUGAAUCCAGGAGAGGUGAGUGGAAUUCCGAGUGUAGAGGUGAAAUUCGUAGAUAUUCGGAAGAACACCAGUGGCGAGGGCGGCUCACUGGACUGGUAUUGACGCUGAGGUGCGAAAGCGUGGGGAGCAAACAGG
rnacentral:rRNA from 1 species